rnacentral:rRNA from 1 species
GCAGUCUGCAACUCGACUGCAUGAAGCUGGAAUCGCUAGUAAUCGCGGAUCAGAAUGCCGCGGUGAAUACGUUCCCGGGUCUUGUACACACCGCCCGUCACACCAUGGGAGUCAGUAACGCCCGAAGUCAGUGACCCAACCGGAACAGGAGGGAGCUGCCGAAGGUGGGACCGAUAACUGGGGUGAAGUCGUAACAAGGUACC